UACCAGCACCCCGAGUGGUCGGGACGUUUAUUGGGCCUAAAGCAUCCGUAGCCGGUUCUACAAGUCUUCCGUUAAAUCCACCUGCUUAACAGAUGGGCUGCGGAAGAUACUAUAGAGCUAGGAGGCGGGAGAGGCAAGCGGUACUCGAUGGGUAGGGGUAAAAUCCGUUGAUCCAUUGAAGACCACCAGUGGCGAAGGCGGCUUGCCAGAACGCGCUCGACGGUGAGGGAGUGAAAGCUGGGGG
rnacentral:rRNA from 1 species